rnacentral:rRNA from 1 species
UACGGAGAGUGCAAGCAUUAAUCGGAAUUAUUGGGCGUAAAGGGCGCGUAGGCGGUAAAAUAAGUCAGAUGUGAAAUUCCGAAGCUCAACUUCGGAGCUGCAUUUGAAACUGUUUUGCUAGAGGAUUGGCGGAGAAAACGGAAUUCCACGUGUAGCGGUGAAAUGCGUAGAUAUGUGGAAGAACACCUGUGGCGAAAGCGGUUUUCUAGCUAAUACCUGACGCUGAGGCGCGAGAGCAAGGGGAGCAAACAGG